rnacentral:rRNA from 1 species
UACGGAGGGUGCAAGCGUUAUCCGGAUUCACUGGGUUUAAAGGGUGCGUAGGCGGGCAUGUAAGUCAGUGGUGAAAUCUCCGGGCUUAACCCGGAACUGCCGUUGAUACUAUGUGUCUUGAAUAUCGUUGAGGUUUGCGGAAUAUGUCAUGUAGCGGUGAAAUGCUAGAUAUGACAUAGAACACCAAUUGCGAAGGCAGCAGGCUAACCGAACAUUUGACGCUGAGGCACGAAAAGCGUGGGGGAUCAAACAGG